GAGAAGGGAGACCCCAGGGCCGGGCCCAGAUCCCCCAGAGGGCCCCCAAGGGCCCUGACAUGAACUUUCUGUAUGUGUUUGUUCAGCUGCCAGCCUCUCUUCCGACUCAUCCUGAGGGAAAGUGCCAGCCCAAUGAAGACAUGUGUAAGGCUGAGAUGGAACAGAAAUGGUAGAUGAACCAAUGACAUUUCAAAUAGGGCGGCAAAGCUCCCAGAAACAACAAA